UAUAAAAUUUUGCUCGCCCAUCCUUUCCAUGAAACAUUUGUGAUUUAAGCUUUAAGAAUCUUUGUGGGAUGAUUCUCCCCUCUUCCCAUUGCAAUAGACUUCUUAAUAAAAUGUUUUCAAGUUCCUGUCCAGAUUGGAUGACUUACUAUAGUGGUAAUGGUGCCAUGAUUUGAACAAAAUUCUGGCUGCCCCUCAACUGUUGUUUUUCUUCAACUUGCUGUGAUUGGACAGUAUGCUGACUUCCAGCCUGCUCUCUUCAGGCAAGUGGUGGUGCUGUCUCGUUAAACUCUUUGAAACCUGACUUGGAAAGCAAAAUCAAAAAUGGUCCAGCAACAGGCCCAAAUUGGAAUCCAGCUCAAGGGGAGGCCCCACGGCCGGACAAUAUUAUUGAUGCUAUGGUGUGCUCACAAAAAAAGGAGACCUAUCAUGACUGCCCUCUGAAAGAUCCAACAAGCAGCUGAAAGAGUCAGAUGCAGAUAUUUACACUCAACCAAUGGACAGAAGCUGCUAACCCCUGUGGUUGAAUUAGAGAAAUGCUGGAAGAAGCUGAGGAGAAGGGCAAUCCUUUAGGAAGACUAGCAGACUCAACUAACCUGGAUCCAACAUCUCUCACAUGCUGAGCCACCAACCAGGCAGUAUACAUCAGCUGAUAUGAGGCCCCCAACACAUAUACAGCAGAGGACUGCCAGGUCUGUACUCAGAGAAGAAGCACCUAACCCUCAAAAAACUGGAGGCCCAUUUUUCUAUCUGGGGUCUCUCUGAGGUGGGUCCUUGCAGGAGAACACACGGGCCGCAGAAGCAACAGAGCUUCUUGGACAGAGGCCCUUCUGGCCUUCAUCCUCAGCCAGGAGGUAGAGCUGAUCCUCAGUCCUCUGUGCACCUUUCCUGCCAGGGGAGAGUUGGUCUCCAGGGAGUGCUCUGACUCCUGGACUCAGGAGAUAGCUAGUCUCCCAGGAGUGCUGACAGAGGCUAAAAGACUCACAGAAGGAACAAGCUCCAGCCAGAGACAUCUAGAACAUCUAACACCAGAGAUUACCAGAUGGUGAAAGGCAAAUGUAAGAAUCUUACCAACAGAAACCAAGACAACUAGGCAUCAUAAGAACCCAGUACUACAACCACAGCGAGUCCUAGAUACCUCAACACAUCAGAAAAAGCAAGAUUCAGAUUUAAAAUCAUAGCUCAUGGUGCUGGUAGAAGAUUUUAAGAAGGACAUUAAUUACUCCCUUAAAGAAAUACAGGAGAACACAGGUAAACAGGUAGAAGUCCUUAAAGAGGAAACACAAAACUCCCUUAAAGAAUUACAGGAAAAUACAACCAAACAGCUGAAGGAAUUGAACAAAACCGUCCAAGAUAAAACUGAAAGUAGAAACAAUAAAGAAAACCCAAAGGGAGACAACUCUGGAGAUAGAAAUCCUAGGAAAGAAAUCAGGAGCCAUAGAUGUGAGCAUCACCAACAGACUACAAGAGAUGGAAGAGAGAAUCUCAGGUGCAGAAGAUUCCAUAAAGAACAUGGACACAACAAUC
rnacentral:lncRNA from 1 species